rnacentral:misc_RNA from 1 species
CUCUGAACAUAGGAUGAAGCAUGAAUUAACAGUUCAAACCUGGAAACUCAAGCUAAUUAAUAAGAGCAAAAAUAUAAGACGUGUACCAAAAACAAAAUUACAGGGGAUAUAAAUAAAGGGAGAUGGGAUAAGUAGCAAACUUAUCAACUCUUGAGCAAAGUCUCGACGGCUUCAAAGAAGAGAGGAGCCAUUUCAGGGCUUGGAGUUUUGAUGGCACAUUUGACACCAGGGGUUCCGAUAACUGCUGUAAGUUCGAUCAAGAAAGGGAUUCCUCGGGGGAUCUUGGCAGAAAGAUACAACACCUCUUGGUUAGCAUGUUUGCGCUUAGCUAUAAAGAACAUGUUUGAUGCAGCUAGACGAUCAAGGGUUGUUUCAACGCUAUUGAUAACAGAUGCUGGGAAGUCCCUUGAUACCUCAUUUGAAUCAGGAAGUGAUUUCCAAGUCUCAAGAAAAGUGGAGCGCUCCAUCCUCCCAUCCUCCGUAAAAAGUACAUGGAAAUAGAUUUUAUCAUUGAAAUACCAUACUGGCUGUUGGUUAUUUUUAAUCGCAACCUGUAAAAGGGUAUUUGCAGGGCCAGGGGAAAUGUUCUGGAACAAAACCAUCGGCAAGAGAGUGCUUGCAGAUGUCCCAGGUAGCAAUUGAGGAACUUGGAGUUGUCCACCGGCAGCAAGACCAAAUGUGUUUUUAUUAAACUGAAUCAUGAAGCCAUCAAGAGGAACCUGUGAAUUGUUCUCAAACAUCAUGCUGUAAAAUACCUGCCCGUCUCUCCGUAUCAGUUGGGCACUGAUUUGUAAACCUUGACCACUAGAUGCUGGCAAUACGACAGGUAACGGAGGGCCAGCUGGGCUUGCAGGCUGAUCAACUGACACAAUAGCACUACCGCUGUUAUCCAUGCCAAGGUCAAGUAAAUCAGGCAGCGCUGCAGGUGCAGCUGGUUGCCUUGAUGCAGGAUGCUGAGGAUUAGCUGAACUAGCUGGCGGUGACGCACCACUAUCUGCAACACGAGCAGGAGAAUCGGAAUAGCUCUGUUCACCUGCCUCCGGAUAAUCUUCCUCUUCAGUUUUCUGAGUGGUCUUCACACGAGUGACAAAUGCUUCUGGAGGCUUAUGAUAGACAGAGGAUAAAGUAGCAAUGUUGGAAAGAAGUUCAUCAAGGAGAGAAGGAUCAAGUUGGUUUGAAUCAUCACUAAUCACGGGCUUUUCAGCUAGCACAACAUCUUUAGCUGCCUCAGGAUCAGUUGAGAGAAGACGCCAAUAAAUGUAUGCACGAUCUCGCAAGUCUGGAUUGUCAGUCUCCACAGUGGCAUUAUUUAAAACCACCUGGAUCAUUUGUUGUGGUCCUUCAGUUGGCUUCUUGAGGAAGAGUUUGACUGUUGCUGUCAGCAACUGCAAUUGCACUUGGGGAGGUUCCUCAGGGAAACUCUCCAAAAAGCUUUCAAGGAGCUCAUCUGCAUUAUCAAUUCUUUCAGCAUACUCACCGAUAAUCCAGAUCAUUGAUGCCUUUGCCUCUGGCUCAUCUAGCGUGUCCAAACUCUCGCAAAGAGUAGCAAUUAUGGACUCAUAGGUGUUAGGAUAUCUUCUGAAAAUGUCCUUAAUUACUAUAAUAGCUUCUUGAACAACAUAGUUUACUUUUAUCUUGAUCAAUUCAAGCAGGACACUGAUACAGCGUUCCGCUGCCCUCUCUAAUUUGAUGGCACAGCGGCCAAUAGCACGGACAGCUUUUCUGACAAAGUCAACGUCUACUUCAGUAGCAUAUUCUUUGAACUCCAAUAGCACCUGGUCUAUGUUUCUGUCUGAAGCAAGUUUUAUCAUAAUUUCUAACUUCUCCAUUUUCACAUAUAUAGGAUCAUUAUACUUGCAAAAGAAUACCUUGAUUUCAUGUGCAAGAAUUGUCGGACGCUUUUGUACAAUGAGGUUUAUGUUCCUUAACGCAACAUACUGAAUUUCAGGCUCUGCUGAAAGCAACGUUACAAGAGGAGGAGCCAUCUUUUUACAAAGGUUUCGAACUACAUCAGUGCUGGUGAUGAGUUCCAUCUGUUGGAGUAUCAUCUUUACAGCUGAAAGAACAACAGCACAAUUUGCAUGCUGUAAUCGUGGAGUGACUCGCUCCACUAUGUUUUCAGCUUCACGAGCAUCAGCUGCUUUGUACUUUGACAGAGCAUCCAGUAUAAACACUUGACCCCACUCAGUGCAUUCAUUCAGAGCAGUUAGAAGCUUUGAAAGUGUAUGGCUGGUGAUCUCAAAGAUGGGCCUGCUACUGCUUUCUUGAAUUUCUGCAAGAGCCGCAACAGCAUUUGCAACAACCAUCGGAUUAUUGUCAGAUAUUAAGUCCUUGAGAGCAUCCAAAAAGCCCCUAUCUUCCACAAGUUCGGCAUUUAUGUCAUAGAGC